rnacentral:rRNA from 1 species
CAGUCGCCGCGGGAAUACGUAGGGUGCGAGCGUUAAUCGGAAUUACUGGGCGUAAAGCGUGCGCAGGCGGUUUUGUAAGACAGGCGUGAAAUCCCCGGGCUCAACCUGGGAAUGGCGCUUGUGACUGCAAAGCUAGAGUGCGGCAGAGGGGGAUGGAAUUCCGCGUGUAGCAGUGAAAUGCGUAGAUAUGCGGAGGAACACCGAUGGCGAAGGCAAUCCCCUGGGCCUGCACUGACGCUCAUGCACGAAAGCGUGGGGAGCAAACAGGAUUAGAUACCCCAGUAGUCCCUGUCUCUUAUAC